rnacentral:rRNA from 1 species
GCGUGCUAUACAUGCAGUCGAGCGAACAGACAAGGAGCUUGCUCCUUUGACGUUAGCGGCGGACGGGUGAGUAACACGUGGGUAACCUACCUAUAAGACUGGGAUAACUUCGGGAAACCGGAGCUAAUACCGGAUAAUAUUUCGAACCGCAUGGUUCGAUAGUGAAAGAUGGUUUUGCUAUCACUUAUAGAUGGACCCGCGCCGUAUUAGCUAGUUGGUAAGGUAACGGCUUACCAAGGCGACGAUACGUAGCCGACCUGAGAGGGUGAUCGGCCACACUGGAACUGAGACACGGUCCAGACUCCUACGGGAGGCAGCAGUAGGGAAUCUUCCGCAAUGGGCGAAAGCCUGACGGAGCAACGCCGCGUGAGUGAUGAAGGUCUUCGGAUCGUAAAACUCUGUUAUUAGGGAAGAACAUACGUGUAAGUAACUAUGCACGUCUUGACGGUACCUAAUCAGAAAGCCACGGCUAACUACGUGCCAGCAGCCGCGGUAAUACGUAGGUGGCAAGCGUUAUCCGGAAUUAUUGGGCGUAAAGCGCGCGUAGGCGGUUUUUUAAGUCUGAUGUGAAAGCCCACGGCUCAACCGUGGAGGGUCAUUGGAAACUGGAAAACUUGAGUGCAGAAGAGGAAAGUGGAAUUCCAUGUGUAGCGGUGAAAUGCGCAGAGAUAUGGAGGAACACCAGUGGCGAAGGCGACUUUCUGGUCUGUAACUGACGCUGAUGUGCGAAAGCGUGGGGAUCAAACAGGAUUAGAUACCCUGGUAGUCCACGCCGUAAACGAUGAGUGCUAAGUGUUAGGGGGUUUCCGCCCCUUAGUGCUGCAGCUAACGCAUUAAGCACUCCGCCUGGGGAGUACGACCGCAAGGUUGAAACUCAAAGGAAUUGACGGGGACCCGCACAAGCGGUGGAGCAUGUGGUUUAAUUGGAAGCAACGCGAAGAACCUUACCAAAUCUUGACAUCCUUUGACAACUCUAGAGAUAGAGCCUUCCCCUUCGGGGGACAAAGUGACAGGUGGUGCAUGGUUGUCGUCAGCUCGUGUCGUGAGAUGUUGGGUUAAGUCCCGCAACGAGCGCAACCCUUAAGCUUAGUUGCCAUCAUUAAGUUGGGCACUCUAAGUUGACUGCCGGUGACAAACCGGAGGAAGGUGGGGAUGACGUCAAAUCAUCA